GUGUUAUUCACACCUUUCUAGAAUAUAGAUUCAACUAGGAAACCCUAGCUGAAAGCUCAAAAUCGGCAUCGGAUUUGAGAGAAAUUUCGUAUAAUCUAUCUUCCUCCAUGGGCAAGAAGCGAAAACUCCGAUCUGUCGAGCCUGAAUCAUCCACCAGAACACCUGAAACCGAACAGAUUCAAACCACACCUCAACCUGAACAACAACAACAACAAACCCUAAUCGCAUCGGAACAAGUCAUGGAGCAAGAUCAGAUAGGGCAACCGCAAGAAACCUUCGCUGCAGUACCAAUAGAAGAGACGGUUGAAGAAGAGACGGAGAACAUGGAGGAUGAAGAAGAAGGCGACGAAGAAGGUAAUGAAAAUGAAAACCAGGCUGCGGUUGUUAACGGAGAUAAGGCGGCGGCCGAAGAAGUUGAGGAGGAGGAGGAAGGGGAUGAGGAAGGCGUUGAGGAUUUGGAGGAAGAACCUAUUGAGAAGAUUUUGGAACCGUUUGGGAAAGAUCAUUUGAUUGCUCUUGUUAAGGAGGCUGUCUCGAAGUUACCUGAAUUCAUGGAGAGUGUGCAGAAGUUGGCUGAUUUGGAUCCUUCGCAUAGAAAGAUCUUUGUGCAUGGUCUUGGUUGGGAUUCGAAUAAGGAAACCCUAAUAAGUGUAUUCAGUAAGUAUGGUGAGAUUGAGGAUUGUAAGGCUGUUUCAGAUAAGUUAACUGGUAAGUCAAAAGGUUAUGGAUUCAUUCUCUUUAAGCAUAGAAAAGGAGCUAGGAAGGCUUUGAUACAGCCACAGAAGCAAAUCGGUAAUCGAUUAACUUCCUGCCAAUUAGCAGCAGCUGGACCUGUUCCAGCUCCUCCUGCUGCCCCACCAGCGUCAGAGUAUACACAGAGAAAGAUUUUCAUAAGCAAUGUUUCUGCUGACAUUGAUCCACAUAAAAUCACUGAGUUCUUUGCUAAAUAUGGUGAGAUUGAAGAGGGUCCUCUGGGAUUAGAUAAACAAACUCGGAAGUUUAAAGGGUUCUGCCUUUUUGUGUACAAGAGUGUAGAGAGUGCUAAGAAAGCAUUGGAGGAACCUCAGAAGAUGUUUGAUGGGAAGACAUUGAACUGUCAGAAGGCAGUUGAUGGACCUAAACCAAACAAACCACAAUUUCCACAACAACAGCAGUAUCAGCACCAGCAUCAUCAGCAUCAUCAUCACUCUUUCAGGAAGGAGAAGACCAGAUAUCCUUCUGCUGCUGGACCAAGCCCUGGCCAUCUUAUGGCACCUUCAGGACCAUCUGUUGGAUUUAACCCUUCUGUUCCAAAUCCAGGACUGGCCCCUGCAAUUGGGCAAGCAUUGACUGCCCUUAUGAACGCCCAAGGAGCUGGGUUGGACGUGUCUAACCUGUUUGGAGGACUUGGGGCAUCAAUGAAUCAGGGUAUGCCGCCUAAUAUGAACAAUCAAGGUUAUGGAAGCCAGCCUGGUGUCAGCUAUGGUAGUCAACCAGCUUACUUAAACCAAGGUGGUUAUCAGAAUCCUCAGAUGGGUCAAGGACCGAGUAGGCCAGCUCCGGGUGGUCCUCCUUCUUACAUGGGUUAUGGGCAGUAGGUAGGUCAAAUUCCUUCAAAGCUUUGGGCAGUCACAAUUACAUAUUAGCUUUGGGCUGCUCUACCUGAACUUGAAGGGUGGAUUUUGUCAGAAAGCUUUGGAGAUGAUAUAUGCAGACAGACUUUGAGAAAAGCUUGCCGAAGUAGAUGAGAUGGUGAUGCUGCUGUGGUUUUCAGGAUCAUUGGGGGGUUAUGACUGGAUCAUCCUCUCUUAUUUUUCUCUGUUUACAUCUGUUUCUCACUAUUCUCAAGAAUUUUUGUUUUUGUUAAUCACUUUCUACUCUCUUUUAUGGAAACAAAAACUAAGCUUAGGGUUUCUGUUAGAUAUGAAACCUAUCCAAAGCCCCAAUGAUAGAAUUAGACAAAAACUAGCCCAACAAAAGAAAGGGAUUUGGACUUUUUUUGUUUUGCCUUAUAAAACUAUUUUACUCAAUCAGGCAGA